rnacentral:rRNA from 1 species
AGAGUUUGAUCAUGGCUCAGGAUGAACGCUGGCGGCGUGCUUAACACAUGCAAGUCGAACGAAGCACCUUGAUUUGAUUCUUCGGAUGAAGAUCUUGGUGACUGAGUGGCGGACGGGUGAGUAACGCGUGGGUAACCUGCCUCAUACAGGGGGAUAACAGUUAGAAAUGACUGCUAAUACCGCAUAAGACCACAGCACCGCAUGGUGCAGGGGUAAAAACUCCGGUGGUAUGAGAUGGACCCGCGUCUGAUUAGGUAGUUGGUGGGGUAACGGCCUACCAAGCCGACGAUCAGUAGCCGACCUGAGAGGGUGACCGGCCACAUUGGGACUGAGACACGGCCCAAACUCCUACGGGACGCAGCAG